rnacentral:rRNA from 1 species
GACGUAGGGCGCAAGCGUUGUCCGGAAUUAUUGGGCGUAAAGAGCUCGUAGGCGGCUGUUCAAGUCGAACGUGAAAACUCGGAGCUCAACUCCGAGCCUGCGUUCGAGACUGGAUGGCUAGAGUCUGGUAGGGGAUCUGGAAUUCCUGGUGUAGCGGUGGAAUGCGCAGAUAUCAGGAAGAACACCCGUGGCGAAGGCGGCUCUCUGGGACGGUACUGACGCUGAGACGCGAAAGCGUGGGGAGCGAACAGG